GACGUAGGGGACGAGCGUUGUCCGGAUUCAUUGGGCGUAAAGCGCGCGUAGGCGGCCACGCAAGUCGGGUGUGAAAUCCCGGAGCUCAACUCCGGAACUGCACUCGAAACUGCGCGGCUUGAGGUAGGUAGGGGAGAUCGGAAUUCCUGGUGUAGCGGUGGAAUGCGCAGAUAUCAGGAGGAACACCGGUGGCGAAGGCGGAUCUCUGGGCCUUACCUGACGCUGAGACGCGAAGCUAGGGGAGCGAACAGG
rnacentral:rRNA from 1 species